rnacentral:rRNA from 1 species
CAGAGCCUGAAUCAGCAUGUGUGUUAGUGGAAGCGUCUGGAAAGGCGCGCGAUACAGGGUGACAGCCCCGUACACAAAAGCGCAUGUGCUGUGAGCUCGAUGAGUAGGGCGGGACACGUGAUAUCCUGUCUGAAUAUGGGGGGACCAUCCUCCAAGGCUAAAUACUCCUGACUGACCGAUAGUGAACCAGUACCGUGAGGGAAAGGCGAAAAGAACCCCGGCGAGGGGAGUGAAAAAGAACCUGAAACCGUGUACGUACAAGCAGUGGGAGCACCCUUCGGGGUGUGACUGCGUACCUUUUGUAUAAUGGGUCAGCGACUUAUAUUCUGUAGCAAGGUUAACCGAAUAGGGGAGCCGGAGGGAAACCGAGUCUUAACCGGGCGUUAAGUUGCAGGGUAUAGACCCGAAACCCGGUGAUCUAGCCAUGGGCAGGUUGAAGGUUGGGUAACACUAACUGGAGGACCGAACCGACUAAUGUUGAAAAAUUAGCGGAUGACCUGUGGCUGGGGGUGAAAGGCCAAUCAAACCGGGAGAUAGCUGGUUCUCCCCGAAAGCUAUUUAGGUAGCGCCUCGUGAAUUCAUCUCCGGGGGUAGAGCACUGUUUCGGCUAGGGGGCCAUCCCGGCUUACCAACCCGAUGCAAACUGCGAAUACCGGAGAAUGUUAUCACGGGAGACACACGGCGGGUGCUAACGUCCGUCGUGAAGAGGGAAACAACCCAGACCGCCAGCUAAGGUCCCAAAGUCAUGGUUAAGUGGGAAACGAUGUGGGAAGGCCCAGACAGCCAGGAUGUUGGCUUAGAAGCAGCCAUCAUUUAAAGAAAGCGUAAUAGCUCACUGGUCGAGUCGGCCUGCGCGGAAGAUGUAACGGGGCUAAACCAU